rnacentral:lncRNA from 1 species
UCUAAUCCUUUCAAAUUCGGACUCCUCUUUAUGGUGCAUUUAUCAUAGGCUUUUGGAAGGCUGAAGGACAUUUUUUGAGGCUUGCAAAUGAAGGAUGAACCUAGUCAAAAUGGUUGGGAGUUUUGCUGCAACUUCCCAAGGUUAAUUAAUUGCUGCCAAGACUUUAAGUAGUAUUCCUUUCAUCUUCACCAACUUUCAUUUAAUGUUUUUUCUAGAUGGUUCAAUGCACCCAAGGCUUGUUUUGCCUAUAAAUACUUGGU